rnacentral:miRNA from 1 species
UGAAACAGCCUUCUAUCAGAAGAAGAUGCCUUCUAGGACUUUCAUAGCUGGAGAGAAGUCAGUGCCUGGCUUCA